rnacentral:misc_RNA from 1 species
CAUAGUUGGUAGAGCAUCUGUGAUCAUCUUUAUUUUGGCCUUCACAAUCUUUGUUAGCGCACUCUCAUUAGGUGGUGUUGGCAUAGCAGACACGAUUAGAAAGAUCAAGGAAGGGCAAUAUAUGGGGUUUGAUAACAUCUGUGCAUAUAAUCCUUAAGUUCUGUAUAACUAGUGUCUUUCUGAACUUGUUGCAACAGAUUUUGACUUUAGGUGAUUCGAUUCACAUAUGUUUAGUUGGAUGAUAAACACUUUGGCGAUUUUGAGGCUGCUAGUUAGAAG